rnacentral:rRNA from 1 species
GAUGAACGCUGACAGAAUGCUUAACACAUGCAAGUCAACUUGAAUUUGGGUUUUUAACUUAGGUUUGGGUGGCGGACGGGUGAGUAACGCGUAAAGAACUGCCUCCGGUAAGGGCCACCAUUUGGAAACGAAUGCUAAUACCUAAUAUUAUGAUUAUAUGGCAUCCUAUAAUUAUGAAAGCUAAAAGCGCUGUGAGAGAGCUUUGCGUCCCAUUAGCUAGUUGGAGAGGUAACGGCUCACCAAGGCGAUGAUGGGUAGCCGGCCUGAGAGGGUGAUCGGCCACAAGGGGACUGAGACACGGCCCUUACUCCUACGGGAGGCAGCAGUGGGGAAUAUUGGACAAUGGACCAAGAGUCUGAUCCAGCAAUUCUGUGUGCACGAUGAAGUUUUUCGGAAUGUAAAGUGCUUUCAGUUGGGAAGAAAGAAAUGACGGUACCAACAGAAAA